rnacentral:rRNA from 1 species
UACGUAGGGCGCAAGCGUUGCCCGGAAUUAUUGGGCGUAAAGAGCUCGUAGGCGGCUUGUCACGUCGGGUGUGAAAGCCCGGGGCUUAACCCCGGGUCUGCAUUCGAUACGGGCAGGCUAGAGUGUGGUAGGGGAGAGCGGAAUUCCUGGUGUAGCGGUGAAAUGCGCAGAUAUCAGGAGGAACACCGAUGGCGAAGGCAGGUCUCUGGGCCACUACUGACGCUGAGAAGCGAAAGCAUGGGGAGCGAACAGG